GAAUUUCACACAGAAUCGUUACCUUGUCUAUUCCACAUUAAAGUAUAUAUACAAGGCAAAGCCCGGACUUUCAAGACUAACUAGAAAGCCCGGACAAAACAUAUAGCACAAAGCUCAGACCUUUUGCCUAGACAAAACUCAGACAAAGGCUACACAAACAAACCCUGACCUUAGUCCUAUACAAAAACUCUGACUAAAGAAACCAUUCUAAAACUUGGACAAAAGUCCCUAGGAUAAACUUGGGACUAUCUUUUACAAAUGUACAAUAAAGACCCUAAUAAAUUAGGAGACAUGCACUUAUCACCUAAAGUGCAUUAACAGAAAGUGACAUGUUUGUUGUGACUGGGGAAGUUGAGUGGGAUAAUCAUAAAGUUCAACAAUCUAUGAUAAAAGUUGCAGUCGUAGUUAGCAAGCUACUUGAUUCAACUUGGGGUAAGUUUCUCUAACUUGUGUCAACAAUCGAACAAUACUUAGACAUUGAUACAUCGUUCAAAUAGGGCAAUCGGGUGGUUAAAAGCAUAUGCGGAAUGGAUCUUAAAUAAGAAAACAGUAUCUGACAACUCUCGGAACACUUCAAUGGGAAUGGUAAGAGAAAAAUAAGGUCUAUCACUAAUGGUACAGUUGUAGCGGUUCACCUGUGGCUUGCAAGAUGGACCAAAUCAGUGCGAGACAAAUCACACAUUAUGUUUUUUAACUAUGAAGAAUGCAAGCACUACGCAUCCAAGUACCCAAAUCAAGAAAGUGAAGUGGGUGAAGCAUAUAGCUUGCUCAAGUUGAAGAUGAUGAAGAACCCGCUCUACUGAUGAUUGUAUGCAAGCAAAAGGAACAACGUGAGGUGUUGUGAGAUGGUGAUGGGGCAAGUGGCAAUUCAAAGGGUGCUAUGGAUCCAGAGUUGAAGGCGAAUUAAAGAGAUGAGGUUAAUUGUAAGUUUAUGGGUUUGCUAAUUUAGUCAAGUUAGAGUUAUAGUAGGAUCAGUGUUUGUUUCGUUUAAAAUAUGAAAGCUCAUAUUGUAAUUAUUUUGUCGUGGGUUUUUAAAUAAUAAGAAAAAGGUCGCAGCAGGUUGUUACAAAAAAUCUUCCUCUUGAAAUUAUUCAUAUACCAUUUAUGUCAAAUAUGGUCUUCUUGAAGACAAAUGAAGCUGCCUUAUCAAUAAUUGAUUGAAUAGGGAAAAUCUUUAAGUAUCAACUCAUAGGCUGUGGGCAUAGUUUCCUAAAAGUACAACCACACAAUAAAUGAACGUCCACACAAGACGGACUAUUAGUACAAUUUACAUCAAAUGCAUGCAGGGCAGUUGAUGUGGCUAGGAUAACAUAUCAGAAUCAGGGACGUAGCGUGUCAAGAUACAUAAACCCCAAUGUUUUAAAAAAAAAUCGUAGGAUUGGUAUGUUAAAUUUUUCAAGGACGUCAUAAAAUAAAUUAGUUGGACCCUAUAAUAGUAAAAGCAAAGAUUGUAUUGUGGUAAAUCUCCUUGUGUUCCAACAAGUUAGUUUCAAGUUCAAGUCUUACAUCUGUUGUUUUUAAGUUUAUAUUUUCCAUCAAAAUUAAACUAGUGUAUUAAAACACCACAACCACCCAUUGAUCCUCUAAUUUGGUUUUUUAAAAUGAUAAAUUUAAUGUCUCCAAAUAAUUUUAUUUCACAUUUGAUUACCAAAUAUGACUUUCAACAUAUAGUGGCGUUCAAAAAAAAAAAAAAAAAAAAAAAAAAACUUAAACAAAUUUUUGAAGUUAUGUGAAGUAGUUGUGUUGUUUAGUUAGUUAUUGGUUUCAAACAACUUAUUAAUCACCACAAUUUGUUAACUUGAUUCUUAAAAAUGGUUCUUAAUAAUGUAGUGGUUUCAUGUCCACUAAAUGCUUCUAUAUUAUUUCCUAGCCCCGACCCGACCCGACUAUGAUGACCGACCCGAAUAUUUUAAUGUUUGGUUGUGAAAAAUUCUAACGCAAAAAAUGGACCCUAAUGAAACAAAAUACUAGGUCCGCCACUUGUCAGAAGUCGAAAUUUUAAUUUUCAGGAUUGUCUAAACAUCCCCCAUCUCGUACUAAACAUACCACUCUACGUGACAGAGUAUAUCUUUUUAAUGGUGAACCUCUUCUCUAAGUUUGUGAGAGUCUCGAUAAGGCUCGCAAGUUGA
rnacentral:lncRNA from 1 species